CUUUAACCACAGGGCUGAAGUUUGUCUCUUACCUGGUUGAUCUUCCUCAGUUGCCUUUAUAGUGCCACUGCUUACUUGAAUGUGUCACAUAUAAAUGGCGUGAAAAUUAACUUUGAGGUGUGAUGGCAUGAGAGCCAGCUAAGGGAGGAAUUUGUAACAGCCUAAGUGGGAUUUCUCUCCUACAUUGUGAUUAGUGUCAGCUCCUGAAACUGGAGGUGCUGCUUUUCUGUGGAGCAGAAGGACGAGUGGAGAGCAUGGAAGACCUGAGGACUCUUCAGAGAUACUGAGAUUCUCAGAUUGAGAAUAUCAAAGGAUUAUGGCACGCAUACUCUUGCUGAUCCGUUACAUGGCACUCUGCCAAACAAAACUGGUAAAAGGAAACGUAACAGAAAAUGAGUUUUGAGAAGCAGGUUCUGCCUUGUGUUGACUGAGGAAGGGAUUUAUCCAGGGCUACUGCAAAGGCAAGGGAAAGUAGGGAGAAGAAUCAAGCUGGUAAGUGUUUUUCUGUUAGAUUUUUACAUAGUUCAGGAUGUUUCUCUUUUUUUCUCCUUCACUGAGGCAAUUUGUUCAAGCUGCA
rnacentral:lncRNA from 1 species